AUUGAACGCUGGCGGCAGGCCUAACACAUGCAAGUCGAACGAGUGGCGGACGGGUGAGUAAUGUCUGGGAAACUGCCUGAUGGAGGGGGAUAACUACUGGACACGGUAGCUAAUACCGCAUACCAUCAGCUUUUCCCAGAUGGGAUGAGCUAGUUGGUGGGGUAACGGCUCACCAAGGCGACGAUCCCUAGCUGGGCGGAGAGGAUGACCAGCCACACUGGAACUCAGACACGGUCAAGACGCCUACGGGAGGCAGCGGUGGGGAAUAUUGCACAAUGGGCGCAAGCCUGAUGCAGCCAUGCCGCGUGUAUGAAGAAGGCAUUCGGGUUGUAAAGUACUUUCAGCGGGGAGGCGUUACCCGCAGAAGAAGCACCGGCUAACUCCGUGCCAGCCGCCGCGGUAAUAC
rnacentral:rRNA from 1 species